rnacentral:rRNA from 1 species
GACGAACGCUGGCGGCGUGCCUAACACAUGCAAGUCGAACGAGAUCCAUGGGAGCUUGCUCCCGGAAGAUCUAGUGGCGAACGGGUGAGUAACACGUGAGAAACCUGCCCUGGAGUGGGGAAUAACUCGGGGAAACUCGAGCUAAUACCGCAUACCCUCGGAUGGUCGCAUGGCCGACCGAGGAAAAGAUUUAUCGCUCUAGGAGGGUCUCGCGGCCUAUCAGCUAGUUGGUGGGGUAACGGCCUACCAAGGCAACGACGGGUAGCUGGUUUGAGAGAACGAUCAGCCACA